CAAAGACUCUCGGCAACGGAUAUCUCGGCUCUUGCAUCGAUGAAGAACGUAGCGAAAUGCGAUACUUGGUGUGAAUUGCAGAAUCCCGUGAACCAUCGAGUCGUUGAACGCAAGUUGCGCCCGACGCCAUCAGGUCGAGGGCACGCCUGCCUGGGUGUCGCAC
rnacentral:rRNA from 2 species